CUACAGAUGGAGAAAAUAAAGAGACAGAGUCUAAAAACAUUUGAGGAUACAAGACUUGUAAAUGAUUCCUCAGCAUAAGGUGGUGCAAAUUUGACCAUUUUGAAAUAGAAUAAAAAUGAUAUCUCCCUUGCUUUUGAAAAA